AAAGAGUUGAUCCUGGCUCAGAACGAACGCUGGCGGCGCGUCUUAAGCAUGCAAGUCGAACGGCAAGAGGUAGCAAUACCUCCUAGAGUGGCGGACUGGUGAGUAACACGUGGGUGACAUACCCUUCAGAUGGGGAUAGCUAUUAGAAAUAGUAGAUAAUACCGAAUACGAGCACAGGGGUUAGAGAUCUGUGAGGAAAGGAGCUAAGGCUCCGCUGAAGGAAUGGCCUGCGGCCCAUUAGCUAGUUGGUGAGGUAAGAGCCCACCAAGGCGAUGAUGGGUAUCCGGCCUUAGAGGGUGAACGGACACAUUGGGACUGAGAUACGGCCCAGACUCCUACGGGAGGCAGCAGCUAAGAAUAUUCCGCAAUGGACGAAAGUCUGACGGAGCGACGCCGCGUGGAUGAAGAAGGCCGGAAGGUUGUAAAAUCCUUUUGAAACUGAAGAAUAAGCGUUGUAGGGAAUGACAGCGUGGUGACAGUAGGUUUUGAAUAAGCAACGGCUAAUUACGUGCCAGCCGCGGC
rnacentral:rRNA from 1 species